GAUUUUCUGAGAUAUCCGUGUCGCUUUUAUUUUGAACCUACAUUGUAAAUAAGGGAGUCCAAAUCUAAAGGACUGAUAUCAGGCCUUUGUAAGUCCAAUAUGGCAGGGGAAGAUAGAUGCCUUUAUGAGGACACCCACCUAUCCGAGAGAUAGGUGUCAAAAUAGGGGCAACGGUAUCUUGGAUAAUGU
rnacentral:other from 1 species